AACAUGCAACCUUUGUUUAAUUACUGAUCAAGUAAAGUUUUGACUUAUAACCUGUGACUUUCCUUCCUUUGGUUUGCAUGUUCCAUACAUAUUCAAAGAAACUCAUGGUGAUGAAAGUACUCAACAAUAGACAAAGUAUGGCAUAAAGCCAUGAAAAUACCGGGAAAAGAUAAUCUCCAGCAUUAACAUCAGACAACUGGCAGUUCAAAAAACAAUGCGGAUGAUGAACAAAGCAUUACUUAUAAACCGAUGUAAUGUGAAUAAGGACAGAUCCACUGACACCAUCAGGACAACACGUUUCUAACCCUUGUGCCAGGAAGAAACCUGACAGUUGAAGACUGACAAGGCUCCAUGCAAGCCUUUAACAUCUUUACUCAAAUGGAACAAAUACCUAUACCUAACAACACAAGAAGUGGAUAUAUCACUUGAUUUAAAAGGGUUUGUAUAAUUAUCCAGGAAUCAUCAAAUUUCUGCUUCACAACAGAACAGUAUCACAAGAACAAUUGUUGGCAGUUAUCAAACCACUGCAGUGCAACCGGCCUCCUGAAGCUCGGGGUUAAAAGCUGGCCUCUGGAAAUCAAUCAUGCUCUCGGCAGAGAAGAAUAUUUCAGUGAUAUGAAAGCUGAAAUGGAGACUAUAAUCUUUUGUGAUUACCCUCGAGGCCGAAGCAAACGCAAAAAGGAAAGUCCAUGAAUUGCUGAUAAUUUCCUGUGAUGACCGAUUCCCAGGAAAUUCAGAUAGAACUCUUGCUCUGUAACAAAAUGAUGGUUCUCCCCAGAACUGCAGCCUCAAAGAACUCCACAUCCAGAUGUCACAAUGCUUCUUCAGAAGCUAUUCACCCAUAAG